rnacentral:rRNA from 1 species
AACAUGGAAGCUGGCUUCUGAUGACGAGCGGCGGACGGGUGAGUAAUACAUAGGAAUCUGCCUAGUAGUGGGGGACAACUUGGGGAAACUCAAGCUAAUACCGCAUACGCCGUACGGGGGAAAGCGGGGGAUCUUCGGACCUCGCGCUAUUAGAUGAGCCUGUGCGAGAUUAGCUAGUUGGUGAGGUAAUGGCUCACCAAGGCUACGAUCUCUAGCUGGUCUGAGAGGACGAUCAGCCACACUGGGACUGAGACACGGCCCAGACUCCUACGGGAGGCAGCAGUGGGGAAUAUUGGACAAUGGGCGCAAGCCUGAUCCAGCAAUACCGCGUGUGUGAAGAAGGCCUUAGGGUUGUAAAGCACUUUCAGCAGUGAGGAAAAACUUGAAGUUAAUAAUUUCAGGUCUUGACGUACCUUCAAAGGAAGCACCGGCUAACUCCGUGCCAGCAGCCGCGGUAAUACGGAGGGUGCAAGCGUUGUUCGGAAUCACUGGGCGUAAAGGGCGCGUAGGCGGUUAGUUAAGUUAGAUGUGAAAGCCCCGGGCUUAACCUGGGAACUGCAUUUAAAACUGGCUAACUAGAGUAUGGUAGAGGAGAGUGGAAUUUCAGGUGUAGCGGUGAAAUGCGUAGAUAUCUGAAGGAACACCAGUGGCGAAGGCGGCUCUCUGGACCAAAACUGACGCUGAGGGGCGAAAGCGUGGGUAGCAAACGGGAUUAGAUACCCCGGUAGUCCACGCCGUAAACGAUGUCAACUAACUGUUGGGCGGGCUUCCGCUUAGUGAUGCCAGCUAACGCAAUAAGUUGACCGCCUGGCGAGUACGGCCGCAAGGCUAAAACUCAAAUGAAUUGACGGGGGCCCGCACAAGCGGUGGAGCAUGUGGUUUAAUUCGAUGCAACGCGAAGAACCUUACCUACCCUUGACAUCCAGAGAAUCUGUUAGAGAUAGUAGAGUGCCUUCGGCAACCCUAACACAGGUGCUGCAUGGCUGUCGUCAGCUCGUGUCGUGAGAUGUUGGGUUAAGUCCCUCAACGAGCGCAACCCCUAUCCUUAGUUGCCAGCACAUAAUGGUGGGAACUCUAAGGAGACUGCCGGUGACAAACCGGAGCAAGGUGGGGACGACGUCAAGUCAUCAUGGCCCUUACGACCAGGGCUACACACGUGCUACAAUGGUUAAUACAGAGGGCUGCGAACUUGCGAGAGUAAGCAAUCCCA